rnacentral:misc_RNA from 1 species
UCACGACUUACGACGGCAGUUUCUUCAGAGUUCCCGACAUUACUCGCUGGCAACUGAAAAUAGGGGUUGCGCUCGUUGCGGGACUUAACCCAACACCUCACGGCACGAGCUGACGACGGCCAUGCAGCACCUUACUACCUGUAUAUUGCUAUAAAAACACCUUUCGGCAUCGGUCAGGCAGCAUUCUAGCCCAGGUAAGGUUCCUCGCGUAUCAUCGAAUUAAACCACACGCUCCACCGCUUGUGCGGACCCCCGUCAAUUCCUUUGAGUUUCAACCUUGCGGUCGUACUUCCCAGGUGGAUUACUUAAUGCUUUCGCUCAGACACACACUGUGUAUCGCGUAUGUCGAGUAAUCAUCGUUUAGGGCGUGGACUAC